rnacentral:lncRNA from 1 species
UCUUAGGGGCCGUUUGAUUUGCAGUUUAGGAUUGAUUAGGAUUAAAAUUAUCUUGAGAAAUUAGUGUGGAUUAGUGUGGAUUUAUAUUAUUUCAUGGGUGUUUGAUAUCAUGGCUACUUAAUCCUAUAUUAUGUUUGAUAUCCAUAGGAUUAUGUUGGAUUAUAUUAUCUAAUAUCAAAACUAUCCUCACAUAAUUUUAAAAAUAUCAUGUGUGUCCACCAUUACUUGGGCAUUUGCAUCGAUAUGCGUGAGGAAUGGUAGCAGAAUUUUUAUCCAACUUCUCAG